rnacentral:tRNA from 1 species
AGUCUUAUAGUUUAAUAAAACGUUAAAUUGCAAAUUUAGAAUUAAUAAUUAUGUUUAAGACUU